AUUGAACGCUGGCGGCAUGCCUUACACAUGCAAGUCGAACGGCAGCACGGGAGCAAUCCUGGUGGCGAGUGGCGAACGGGUGAGUAAUAUAUCGGAACGUGCCCAGUCGUGGGGGAUAACGUAGCGAAAGCUACGCUAAUACCGCAUACGAUCUAUGGAUGAAAGCGGGGGAUCGCAAGACCUCGCGCGAUUGGAGCGGCCGAUAUCAGAUUAGGUAGUUGGUGGGGUAAAAGCCUACCAAGCCUUCGAUCUGUAGCUGGUCUGAGAGGACGUCCAGCCACACUGGAACUGAGACACGGUCCAGACUCCUACGGGAGGCAGCAGUGGGGAAUUUUGGACAAUGGGCGCAACCCUGAUCCAGCCAUUCCGCGUGAGUGAAGAAGGCC
rnacentral:rRNA from 1 species